UACGGAGGGUGCGAGCGUUGUCCGGAAUCAUUGGGCGUAAAGCGCGCGUAGGCGGUCAGGUAAGUCCGGUGUGAAAGUCAAAGGCUCAACCUUUGAAUGCCGCUGGAUACUGCUUGACUUGAGUCCGGAAGGGGCGAGUGGAAUUCCUGGUGUAGCGGUGAAAGUGCGCAGAUAUCAGGAGGAACACCAAUGGCGAAGGCAGCUCGCUGGAACGGUACUGACGCUGAGGCGCGAAAGCGUGGGGAGCGAACAGG
rnacentral:rRNA from 1 species